rnacentral:rRNA from 1 species
CAGCAGCCACGGGAAUACAGAGGGUGCGAGCGUUAAUCGGAUUUACUGGGCGUAAAGCGUGCGUAGGCGGCUUCUUAAGUCGGAUGUGAAAUCCCUGAGCUUAACUUAGGAAUUGCAUUCGAUACUGGGAAGCUAGAGUAUGGGAGAGGAUGGUAGAAUUCCAGGUGUAGCGGUGAAAUGCGUAGAGAUCUGGAGGAAUACCGAUGGCGAAGGCAGCCAUCUGGCCUAAUACUGACGCUGAGGUACGAAAGCAUGGGGAGCAAACAGGAUUAGAUACCCGAGUAGUCCAUGUCUCUUAUAC